rnacentral:rRNA from 1 species
GGUGGUGCAUGGUUGUCGUCAGCUCGUGUCGUGAGAUGUUGGGUUAAGUCCCGCAACGAGCGCAACCCUCGUUCCAUGUUGCCAGCGGGUUAUGCCGGGGACUCAUGGGAGACUGCCGGGGUCAACUCGGAGGAAGGUGGGGAUGACGUCAAAUCAUCAUGCCCCUUAUGUCUUGGGCUUCACGCAUGCUACAAUGGCCGGUACAAUGGGUUGCGAUACUGUGAGGUGGAGCUAAUCCCUAAAAGCCGGUCUCAGUUCGGAUUGGGGUCUGCAACUCGACCCCAUGAAGUCGGAGUCGCUAGUAAUCGCAGAUCAGCAACGCUGCGGUGAAUACGUUCCCGGGUCUUGUACACACC